rnacentral:rRNA from 1 species
GCUGGCGGCAUGCUUAACACAUGCAAGUCGAACGUAAGUAUUUGGUGCUUGCAUCAAAUAUGAGCGUGGCAGACGGGUGAGUAAUGCAUGGGAACGUACCUUUCAGUUCGGAAUAACAUUUGGAAACGAAUGACAAUACCGGAUACGCUCGAGAGAGGAAAGGCUUGCUGCUGAGAGAGCGGCCCAUGUCAGAUUAGCUUGUUGGUGAGGUAAUGGCUCACCAAGGCAGUGAUCUGUAGCUGAUUUGAGAGGAUGAUCAGCCACACUGGGACUGAGAUACGGCCCAGACUCCUACGGGAGGCAGCAGUGGGGAAUAUUGGACAAUGGGGGAAACCCUGAUCCAGCAAUGCCGCGUGUAUGAAGAAGGCCUUCGGGUUGUAAAGUACUUUUAUUAGGGAAGAUGAUGACGGUACCUAAUGAAUAAGCUCCGGCAAACUUCGUGCCAGCAGCCGCGGUAAUACGAAGGGAGCUAGCGUUGUUCGGAAUAACUGGGCGUAAAGGGCGCGUAGGCGGCCUUACAGGUUGGAUGUGAAAUCCCUGGGCUUAACCCAGGAACUGCAUACAAAACGGUAAGGCUAGAGUGCGAUAGGGGAAAGCGGAAUAACGUGUGGAGCAGUGAAAUGCGUUGAUAUACGUUAGAACACCGGGGGCGAAGGCGGCUUUCUGGAUCGCAACUGACGCUAAGGCGCGAAAGCGUGGGGAGCAAACAGGAUUAGAUACCCUGGUAGUCCACGCCGUAAACAAUGAGUGCUAGAUGUUGGAUGGGUUUCCAUUCUGUGUCGCAGCUAACGCAGUAAGCACUCCGCCUGGGGAGUACGAUCGCAAGAUUAAAACUCAAAGGAAUUGACGGGGACCCGCACAAGCGGUGGAGCAUGUGGUUUAAUUCGAAUCUACGCGAAGAACCUUACCAGCUUUUGACAUGGGGAUUAUACGAGUGAGAGAUCACUUGGUCAGUUCGGCUGGAUCCCACACAGGUGCUGCAUGGCUGUCGUCAGUUCGUGUCGUGAGAUGUUGGGUUAAGUCCCGCAACGAACGCAACCCCUACCACUAGUUGCCAACAGGUUAUGCUGGGAACUUUAGUGGGACUGCCGGUGAUAAGCCGGAGGAAGGUGGGGAUGAUGUCAAGUCAUCAUGGCCCUUAUAGGCUGGGCUACACACGUGCUACAAUGGCGGCGACAAAGCGUUUUGCAAUAUAGCAAUAUGGAGCUAAUCGCAAAAAGCCGUCUCAGUUCGGAUUGUCCUCUGCAACUCGAGGGCAUGAAGUUGGAAUCGCUAGUAAUCGUAGAUCAGCAUGCUACGGUGAAUACGUUCUCGGGUCUUGUACACACUGCCCGUCACACCAUGGAAGUUGGUCUUACCUUAAGGCGAUGAGCUAACCUAGCAAUAGGAGGCAGUCGACUACGGUGGGGUCGGUGACUGGGGUGAAGUCGGAACAAGGUA